GAUGAAGAACGCAGCGAAAUGCGAUAAGUAAUGUGAAUUGCAGAAUUCAGUGAAUCAUCGAAUCUUUGAACGCACAUUGCGCCCGCCAGUAUUCUGGCGGGCAUGCCUGUUCGAGCGUCAUUAGAACCCUCAGGCCCCCGGGCCUGGCGUUGGGGAUCGGCGGAAGCCCCCUGCGGGCACAACGCCGUCCCCCAAAUACAGUGGCGGUCCCGCCGCAGCUUCCAUUGCGUAGUAGCUAACACCUCGCAACUGGAGAGCGGCGCGGCCACGCCGUAAAACACCCAACUUCUGAAUGUUGACCUCGAAUCAGGUAGGAAUACCCGCUGAACUUAAGCAUAUCAAUAAGCGGAGGA
rnacentral:misc_RNA from 1 species